rnacentral:lncRNA from 1 species
UUUUCCCACAAUUUUUGAGGUUUUUCCUGGUUUUUCCCUGCAGUUUUUUGGCAUUUUUUCCUGGAUUUUUUGGGGAUUUUUUCCUGGAUUUUGGGGCUUUUCUUCCUGUUUUCUUUUUGGGAUUUUCCCCCAGUUUUUUGGGAUUUUUUCCCCAGAUUUUGGGAUUUUUCCCACAGUUUUUUGGCAUUUUUUCCUGGAUUUUUGGGGCUUUUUUUCCUGGAUUUUUUUUGGGAUUUUGCCACAGUUUUUUUGGGUUUUUUCCCAGAUUUUUGGGGGAUUUUGCCACAGUCUUUUUUUAUUUUUUCCCCUCAUUUCCAGGCGAGGAUCUCAGCGGUCGCCAGCCGGGCGAGGCUCCGGAACUCCACGCUCAGGAGGCGCCUCCAGAACCUUCGGUCGCGGCCGAACACCUGAGCGGGGAAACGGGGAGAGCCUGGGGAGAGGGGAAAUCAGAGAAAUCAGCAAAAUCAUCAAAAUCCCAAAUUAACAAAAAACCCAAAUCC